rnacentral:rRNA from 1 species
AUUGAACGCUGGCGGCAGGCCUAACACAUGCAAGUCGAAUGGUAACAGGAAACAGCUUGCUGUUUCUCUGACGAGUGGCGGACGGGUGAGUAAUGUCUGGGAAACUGCCUGAUGGAGGGGGAUAACUACUGGAAACGGUAGCUAAUACCGCAUAACGUCGCAAGACCAAAGAGGGGGACCUUCGGGCCUCUUGCCAUCAGAUGUGCCCAGAUGGGAGUAGCUAGUUGGUGGGGUAAAGGCUCACCCAGGCGACGAUCCCUAGCUGGUCUGAGAGGGUGACCCGCCACACUGGAACUGAGACACGGUCCAGACUCCUACGGGAGGCAGCAGUGGGGAAUAUUGCACAAUGGGCGCAAGCCUGAUGCAGCCAUGCCGCGUGUAUGAAGAAGGCCUUCGGGUUGUAAAGUACUUUCAGCGGGGAGGAAGGGAGUAAAGUUAAUCCCUUUGCUCAUUGACGUUACCCGAAGAAGAAGCAACGGCUAACUCCGUG